rnacentral:rRNA from 2 species
ACCACUUCGGGGGUACACGAGUGGCGAACGGGUGAGUAACACGUGGGUGAUCUGCCCUGCACUCUGGGAUAAGCCUGGGAAACUGGGUCUAAUACCGGAUAUGAGCUCCUGUCGCAUGGCGGGGGUUGGAAAGGUUUACUGGUGCAGGAUGGGCCCGCGGCCUAUCAGCUUGUUGGUGGGGUAAUGGCCUACCAAGGCGACGACGGGUAGCCGGCCUGAGAGGGCGACCGGCCACACUGGGACUGAGACACGGCCCAGACUCCUACGGGAGGCAGCAGUGGGGAAUAUUGCACAAUGGGCGAAAGCCUGAUGCAGCGACGCCGCGUGAGGGAUGACGGCCUUCGGGUUGUAAACCUCUUUCAGCAGGGACGAAGCGAGAGUGACGGUACCUGCAGAAGAAGCACCGGCCAACUACGUGCCAGCAGCCGCGGUAAUACGUAGGGUGCGAGCGUUGUCCGGAAUUACUGGGCGUAAAGAGCUCGUAGGCGGUUUGUCGCGUCGUCCGUGAAAACUUGGGGCUCAACCCCAAGCUUGCGGGCGAUACGGGCAGACUUGAGUACUGCAGGGGAGACUGGAAUUCCUGGUGUAGCGGUGAAAUGCGCAGAUAUCAGGAGGAACACCGGUGGCGAAGGCGGGUCUCUGGGCAGUAACUGACGCUGAGGAGCGAAAGCGUGGGUAGCGAACAGGAUUAGAUACCCUGGUAGUCCACGCCGUAAACGGUGGGCGCUAGGUGUGGGUUUCCUUCCACGGGAUCCGUGCCGUAGCUAACGCAUUAAGCGCCCCGCCUGGGGAGUACGGCCGCAAGGCUAAAACUCAAAGGAAUUGACGGGGGCCCGCACAAGCGGCGGAGCAUGUGGAUUAAUUCGAUGCAACGCGAAGAACCUUACCUGGGUUUGACAUAUACCGGAAAGCCGUAGAGAUACGGCCCCCCUUGUGGUCGGUAUACAGGUGGUGCAUGGCUGUCGUCAGCUCGUGUCGUGAAACGUUGGGUUAAAUCCCGCAACGAGCGCAACCCUUGUCCUGUGUUGCCAGCGCGUAAUGGCGGGGACUCGCAGGAGAAUGCCGGGGUCAACUCGGAGGAAGGUGGGGACGACGUCAAGUCAUCAUGCCCCUUAUAUCCAGGGCUUCACACAUGCUACAAUGGCCGGUACAGAGGGCUGAGAUACCGUGAGGGGGAGCGAAUCCCUUAAAGCCGGUAUCAGUUCGGAUCGGGGUCCCCAACUCGACCCCGUGAAG